rnacentral:rRNA from 1 species
GUAGUCUCGCACAGAUGCAUAUCAAUAAGCGGAGGAAAAGAAACUAACAAGGAUUCCCCUAGUAACGGCGAGUGAAGCGGGAAGAGCUCAAAUUUGAAAUCUUAAAGGGUUUCCCUUUACGAAUUGUAGUUUAAAGAAGUGUUUUCUGUUGAGGUUUUGGUAAAAGUUCUUUGGAAUAGGACAUCAUAGAGGGUGAGAAUCCCGUAUUUGACCUUUACUUUCAACUUUGUGAUACACUUUCAAAGAGUCGGAUUGUUUGGGAAUGCAGUCCAAAAUGGGUGGUAAAUUUCAUCUAAAGCUAAAUAUUGGCGAGAGACCGAUAGCGAACAAGUACCGUGAGGGAAAGAUGAAAAGAACUUUGAAAAGAGAGUUAAACAGUACGUGAAAUUGUCAAAAGGGAAGCGUUUGACACCAGUGUUGUUUUUCUGAAAAUCAAUUAAAGAACUGUUUAUGCUAAGCUGUUUAGACUUUAUCAGCUAACUGUUUAGUUUUGAGCUUUUCUUUAAUGCACUUUUCAGUUAACAAGUCAACAUCAAUUUCUUUUGCUGUAAAAAAGCUUGAGGAAGGUGGCUUGAGAUUCGUCUUAAGUGUUUAUAGCCUCUUGCCUAUGCAGUCGGAGAGAUUGAGGUCUGCAGCGUAGAUCCUUCGGGGCUAAAUGCAUUUGUGCUAAGUUAUAGCAUUUUAUAGACAACUUGUUGACUAUGAUUUGUCUUGUAGCUUACUCGCUUAUGUUAUUUUACCUACGCUUAGGAUGUUGAGCGCAUGUCUCUCUCU